rnacentral:rRNA from 1 species
AUUGAACGCUGGCGGCAUGCCUUACACAUGCAAGUCGAACGGUAACGGGCCUUCGGGUGCCGACGAGUGGCGAACGGGUGAGUAAUACAUCGGAACGUGCCCGAUCGUGGGGGAUAACGAGGCGAAAGCUUUGCUAAUACCGCAUACGAUCUACGGAUGAAAGCAGGGGACCGCAAGGCCUUGCGCGGACCGAGCGGCCGAUGGCAGAUUAGGUAGUUGGUGGGAUAAAAGCUGACCAAGCCGACGAUCUGUAGCUGGGCUGAGAGGAUGAUGAGCCACACUGGGACUGAGACACGGCCCAGACUCCUGCGGGAGGCAGCGGUGGGAAAUUUUGGACAAUGGGCGCAAGCCUGCUCCAGCCAUGCCGCGUGCAGGAUGAAGGCCUUCGGGUUGUAAACUGCUUUUGUACGGAACGAAAAGCCUUCUUUUAAUACAGGAGGGUCAUGACGGUACCGUACGAAUAAGCACCGGCUAACUACGUG